UUCAUGGAGAGUUUGAUCCUGGCUCAGGACGAACGCUGGCGGCGUGCCUAAUACAUGCAAGUCGAGCGGACCGACGGGAGCUUGCUCCCUUAGGUUAGCGGCGGACGGGUGAGUAACACGUGGGUAACCUGCCUGUAAGACUGGGAUAACUCCGGGAAACCGGGGCUAAUACCGGAUGCUUGAUUGAACCGCAUGGUUCAAUUAUAAAAGGUGGCUUCGGCUACCACUUACAGAUGGACCCGCGGCGCAUUAGCUAGUUGGUGAGGUAACGGCUCACCA
rnacentral:rRNA from 1 species